rnacentral:sRNA from 1 species
GGGAUAGCAGCGGCAUCCUUUUGCGGCAUGAAAUGGAGCAAAAGAUAGAGCGAAUAGCCCGACCCGAA